rnacentral:rRNA from 1 species
AGGGCACCACCAGGAGUGGAGCCUGCGGCUUAAUUUGACUCAACACGGGGAAACUCACCCGGUCCGGACACCGUAAGGAUUGACAGAUCGAGAGCUCUUUCUUGAUUCGGUGGAUGGUGGUGCAUGGCCGUUCUUAGUUGGUGGAGUGAUUUGUCCGGUUAAUUCCGAUAACGAACGAGACUCUAGCCUGCUAACUAGUUACGCCGUGUUCAUGCGCGGCGCUAGACUUCUUAGAGGGACAGGUGGCUCUUAGCCACACGAAAUUGAGCAAUAACAGGUCUGUGAUGCCCUUAGAUGUCCGGGGCCGCACGCGCGCUACACUGAAGGAGUCAGCGUGUGCUAUCCGUGCCUGGAAAGGCUCGGUAACCCGUUGAAACUCCUUCGUGCUUGGGAUUGUGGCUUGUAAUUAUCGCGCAUGAACGAGGAAUUCCCAGUAAGUGCAAGUCAUCAGCUUGCGCUGACUACAUCCCUGCGCUUUGUACACACCGCCCGUCGCUACUACCGAUUGAAUGGGUUAAC